GGACCCGCACAAGCGGUGGAGUAUGUGGCUUAAUUCGAUGCAACGCGAAGAACCUUACCUAGGCUUGACAUGCUUGUCGUACUCUCCCGAAAAGGAGAGGUCACUUCGGGUGGACAAUGCACAGGUGCUGCAUGGCCGUCGUCAGCUCGUGUCGUGAGAUGUUUGGUUAAGUCCAGCAACGAGCGCAACCCCUGCCGUUAGUUGCCAGCAUGUAAUGAUGGGAACUCUAACGGGACUGCCGGUGCAAACCGCGAGGAAGGUGGGGGAUGACGUCAAAUCAUCACGGCCCUUACGUCCUGGGCUACACACGUGCUACAAUGGCCGGUACAGAGGGCAGCCACACCGCAAGGUGGAG
rnacentral:rRNA from 1 species